CCAACCUCUCACAAUCUCGGAAGCUGAAUUCCACCCGUCAAGAGCUGAAGUUUAACUAAUGUGAGUUCAAGAUAGCAACUGCAAAUUCGAACAACUGAAAAAGGACUAAGAAACAAUACUAAAACAAGAAAACUAGAGUUUCAACUCUUACAAAUUCAAUCUGUCACACAGAAAAAGUACAAUUUCUAACUCUGAAAUAGUUUCUACAGAUUCACUGAUUUAAUCUAAUCAUCGAAAAUCAAUCCCCAAAAAUAUUUCCCGUCGCACUUUCUAAUCAUGUCCACGCGCCGCCGGUCAUCACUCAUCUCCGCUGCAGCACUCCUCCUCCUCCUCCUCCUUCUCUCACCUCUCUCCACCGCCAACCCCCAAGAAUCCGACCCCAUAUCCCGCUUCCAAAACUACCUAAGAAUCAACACCGCUCACCCCAAUCCAAACUACACCGGCGCCGUCGAGUACCUCGCCGCCUUCGCCGCCACGAUCCCCACCCUCCAAAGCCGAACCCUCCACCUCACCACCCCUGACAAGCCCCUCCUCCUCAUCACCUGGCCCGGCUCAAACCCUUCGCUUCCUUCAAUCCUCCUCAAUUCCCACCUCGAUUCCGUCCCCGCCGAGCCCUCCAAGUGGCUGCACCCCCCCUUCGCCGCCCACCGCGCCGCCGACGGCCGAAUCUACGCUCGCGGUGCCCAGGACGACAAGUGCAUCGGUAUGCAGUACCUGGAAGCAAUCCGGGAGUUUAAAAAAUCGAAUCUUGAUCACACCCCACUUCGCACCGUGCACAUUUCCUACGUCCCAGAAGAGGAAAUCGGCGGAUUUGAUGGGAUGAUGAAGUUUGUUGAGAGUGAAGAGUUUCAAGAAUUGAAUGUUGGGUUUGUGCUGGAUGAAGGGCAGGCCUCUGUUGGGGAAGAGUUCAGGGUGUUCUAUGCCGACAGGUCGCCGUGGCACGUCGUGAUCAGGGCGCGGGGCCCACCCGGCCACGGCUCGAGGAUGUACGACGGCGGCGCCAUGGAGAAUUUGAUGAAGAGUGUGGAGAUGAUGAUGAAGUUCAGGGAGAAUAGCUUUGAGUUGGUUAAGGCAGGUUUGGCUGUGAAUUCGGAGGUUAUUUCGGUUAAUCCUGUGUUCUUGAAUGCUGGGAUUCAGUCUAAUGAUGGGUUUGUGAUGAACUUGCAGCCGUCUGAGGCAGAGGCCGGUUUUGAUAUCCGGCUGAUUCCCACCGCGGAUCCUGACCUCUUGAGGAGAAGGAUCGCUGAGGAGUGGGCGCCGGCUUGGAGGAACAUGACUUAUGAGAUAACAGAAAAGGGUCCUCUAAGAGACUUCAAAGGCCGCCCUCUGAUGACAGCAACGGAUGAUUCCAAUCCAUGGUGGGCCGUGUUCAACCAAGCCAUUGCAGCUGCGGGGGGAAAGCUUGCAAGGCCUGAAAUCCUAGCUUCAACUACGGAUGCUAGGUUCAUGAGACAGUUGGGAAUUCCUACCCUUGGAUUCUCUCCAAUGAAGAAUACUCCCAUAUUGCUUCAUGACCAUAAUGAGUUUCUCAAGGAUAGUGUAUACUUAGACGGGAUUAGGGUUUAUGAGCACGUAAUCAGAUUCUUGAGCUCCUUCGAUGGAUGAGGACUCGAGCAAUGGUAUGAUACUGGCAUCCUCAAAGCCUCUUUUCGUUCCAUUACAAAUAAACUAUAGAAUCGCUUAUAUCUUCUUGCAAUGUGUGAAUUAUAUGAGUUGAACAUUACACACAGUUACACGCACUCAUGUUGAUUCGCUGUAUAUACAUCGGAUGCAGCAAAGAAUACGCGCUUCCAAAGUCAUGUCGGCUGCCCGGCUCACUCGCUUGUGCUUGGACUUAGGUAUGUUGUAUGUGUUUUUCUGCAAUUUUUCUGCAUUUUGACUCUUCUUGAAACUUUGUAGAAAAGCCAUAUCUUGAUAGUCAAGAGAAGCUUGCUUUUGACCCGAAUGAGUCAAGCUUUUGUUGGUAUUUUCUCUAAAGUCAAGAAUGGAUUGUGUUUUACUGUGUUGUGUUACCUGAAGAAGUUAACAUUUUACUGAUAAUUUUUACCCCAAGUCAAGAAUGAGAUUUUCUUGUUUUGACUUUUGAUUAUAGAUCAAGAAUUUGAAUAAA